GGGGAAUAUUGCACAAUGGGCGCAAGCCUGAUGCAGCAACGCCGCGUGAAGGAAGAAGGCUUUCGGGUUGUAAACUUCUUUUGGCAGGGACGAAAAAAAUGACGGUACCUGCAGAAUAAGCUCCGGCUAACUACGUGCCAGCAGCCGCGGUAAUACGUAGGGAGCAAGCGUUAUCCGGAUUUACUGGGUGUAAAGGGAGCGUAGGCGGGAAUGCAAGUCAGAUGUGAAAUCUGAGGGCUCAACCCUCAAACUGCAUUUGAAACUGUGUUUCUUGAGUGGUGGAGAGGCAAGUGGAAUUCCUAGUGUAGCGGUGAAAUGCGUAGAUAUUAGGAGGAACACCAGUGGCGAAGGCGACUUGCUGGACACUAACUGACGCUGAGGCUCGAAAGCGUGGGGAGCAAAC
rnacentral:rRNA from 1 species